AGGGGGUUUGAUCCUGGGCUCAGGACGAACGCUGGCGGCGCGCCUAAUGCAUGCAAGUCGAGCGACGCAUUUCUAGUUCGUAAGAACCGGAUCUGACGGAGCGGCGAACGGGUGCGUAACACGUGACCAAUCUGCCCUGAAGACUGGGAUAGCCCGAGGAAACUCGGAUUAAUACCGGAUACCCUCUUCGAACCGCAUGGUUCUAUGAGGAAAUGCUCCGGCGCUUCAGGAUGAGGUCGCGGCCCAUCAGCUUGUUGGUGAGGUAAUGGCUCACCAAGGCUACGACGGGUAGCUGGUCUGAGAGGAUGAUCAGCCACACUGGAACUGAGACACGGUCCAGACUCCUACGGGAGGCAGCAGCAGGGAAUCUUGCGCAAUGGGCGAAAGCCUGACGCAGCGACGCCGCGUGGGGGAUGAAGGCCUUCGGGUUGUAAACCCCUUUCAGGAGGGAAGAAAAUGACGGUACCUCCAGAAGAAGCCCCGGCCAACUACGUGCCAGCAGCCGCGGUUAAUACGUAGGGGGCAAGCGUUGUCCGGAUUUAUUGGGCGUAAAGGGCUCGUANGCGGCUUAACAAGUCGGCCGUGAAAACCCAGGGCUCAACCCUGGGGACGCCGGGUCGAUACUGUUAUGGCUAGGGUCCGGUAGAGGA
rnacentral:rRNA from 1 species